UUCAAGCUGGCCAUUUAUUUAUUGACUAAGACUAAAAACUUUUAAGUAGCCUAUAUUGUAAAUAUUUAUCUUUUUUAUUUCUUUACUUUUUUACAAGAAAAUAGAUGACUCGAGUGUUACAAACAAUAGUUUUCAAGGAAUAAUGUGAAAUAAGUUAAUUUUUAUAGGAUAAAAAACUUAAUCAACAUGAUAACUUCAUAACAUUAGUCCUACCAGACACUAACUUCGAUGAUCCUGGAGCAAAGGCUGUAAUUUGACCUGAACCCAAAUUGGUCUUUAUUUUAAAUAUUGUAAGUUAAGAGGACUGACCUUUCUGGACGACAUUGCAAUCGACAUCACUGCAGAUGAGAGAGAGACCAGAGUUGUGUACUCUGGAGGCAAUUGCCAUACUGCUGUGAUAAUGUUCCUUGGUCUAACCAUAACUUAAGUGAGAGCUGUAGCCUACCAGUAGAAUGGGGGCGUUGUAAUUAAUAUCCUCCGACAUUGGAGGGUACAGGGGAGAGGUGCCAGAGGAAGAGGAGAUGGAGGAUGGGGCGAAGUAAAGACGAAGAUUGAAGAGAGCUAACUUAUGGCCUGAUGACAGGGUAGAAGGCGAUGGAGGCAUGGUGGUUGGGGGAGAGGAGGCUGAAGAAGUGGAGACAAAUCAGUUUAGAUUCAUUAUGUUGAUUAGUUUAAUAUUUAUUUGGAAUAUCAGUAUACUUUUA